rnacentral:piRNA from 1 species
UGCUCCAACUCUUGAGAGGAUAAAAGAUGC